UACGUAGGGGGCUAGCGUUGUCCGGAAUCAUUGGGCGUAAAGCGCGCGUAGGCGGCCCGGUAAGUCCGCUGUAAAAGUCCAGGGCUCAACCCUGGAACGCCGGUGGAUACUGUCGGGCUAGAGUCCGGAAGAGGCGAGUGGAAUUCCUGGUGUAGCGGUGAAAUGCGCAGAUAUCAGGAGGAACACCUAUGGCGAAGGCAGCUCGCUGGGACGUUACUGACGCUGAGACGCGAAAGCGUGGGGAGCAAACAGG
rnacentral:rRNA from 1 species